UACGAAGGGGGCUAGCGUUGCUCGGAAUCACUGGGCGUAAAGGGUGCGUAGGCGGGUUUUUAAGUCAGAGGUGAAAUCCUGGAGCUCAACUCCAGAACUGCCUUUGAUACUGAAGAUCUUGAGUUCGGGAGAGGUGAGUGGAACUGCGAGUGUAGAGGUGAAAUUCGUAGAUAUUCGCAAGAACACCAGUGGCGAAGGCGGCUCACUGGCCCGAUACUGACGCUGAGGCACGAAAAGCGUGGGGAGCAAACAGG
rnacentral:rRNA from 1 species